rnacentral:rRNA from 1 species
UAGGGAAUCUUCCACAAUGGACGAAAGUCUGAUGGAGCAACGCUGCGUGAGUGAAGAAGGUUUUCGGAUCGUAAAGCUCUGUUGUUGGUGAAGAAGGAUAGAGGCAGUAACUGGUCUUUAUUUGACGGUAAUCAACCAGAAAGUCACGGCUAACUACGUGCCAGCAGCCGCGGUAAUACGUAGGUGGCAAGCGUUGUCCGGAUUUAUUGGGCGUAAAGCGAGCGCAGGCGGAAUGAUAAGUCUGAUGUGAAAGCCCACGGCUCAACCGUGGAACUGCAUCGGAAACUGUCAUUCUUGAGUGCAGAAGAGGAGAGUGGAACUCCAUGUGUAGCGGUGGAAUGCGUAGAUAUAUAGAAGAACACCAGUGGCGAAGGCGGCUCCCUGGUCUGCAACUGACGCUGAGGCUCGAAAGCAUGGGUAGCGAACAGGAUUAGAUACCCUGGUAGUCCAUGCCGUAAACGAUGAGCGCUAGG